rnacentral:rRNA from 1 species
GGUUAAGCGACUAAGCGUACACGGUGGAUGCCCUGGCAGUCAGAGGCGAUGAAGGACGUGCUAAUCUGCGAUAAGCGCCGGUAAGGUGAUAUGAACCGUUAUAACCGGCGAUUUCCGAAUGGGGAAACCCAGUGUGAUUCGUCACACUAUCAUUAACUGAAUCCAUAGGUUAAUGAGGCGAACCGGGGGAACUGAAACAUCUAAGUACCCCGAGGAAAAGAAAUCAACCGAGAUUCCCCCAGUAGCGGCGAGCGAACGGGGAGGAGCCCAGAGCCUGAAUCAGCAUGUGUGUUAGUGGAAGCGUCUGGAAAGGCGCGCGAUACAGGGUGACAGCCCCGUACACAAAAGCGCAUGUGCUGUGAGCUCGAUGAGUAGGGCGGGACACGUGGUAUCCUGUCUGAAUAUGGGGGGACCAUCCUCCAAGGCUAAAUACUCCUGACUGACCGAUAGUGAACCAGUACCGUGAGGGAAAGGCGAAAAGAACCCCGGCGAGGGGAGUGAAAAAGAACCUGAAACCGUGUACGUACAAGCAGUGGGAGCACCCUUCGGGGUGUGACUGCGUACCUUUUGUAUAAUGGGUCAGCGACUUAUAUUCUGUAGCAAGGUUAACCGUAUAGGGGAGCCGGAGGGAAACCGAGUCUUAAUUGGGCGUUAAGUUGCAGGGUAUAGACCCGAAACCCGGUGAUCUAGCCAUGGGCAGGUUGAAGGUUGGGUAACACUAACUGGAGGACCGAACCGACUAAUGUUGAAAAAUUAGCGGAUGACCUGUGGCUGGGGGUGAAAGGCCAAUCAAACCGGGAGAUAGCUGGUUCUCCCCGAAAGCUAUUUAGGUAGCGCCUCGUGAAUUCAUCUCCGGGGGUAGAGCACUGUUUCGGCUAGGGGCCAUCCCGGCUUACCAACCCGAUGCAAACUGCGAAUACCGGAGAAUGUUAUCACGGGAGACACACGGCGGGUGCUAACGUCCGUCGUGAAGAGGGAAACAACCCAGACCGCCAGCUAAGGUCCCAAAGUCAUGGUUAAGUGGGAAACGAUGUGGGAAGGCCCAGACAGCCAGGAUGUUGGCUUAGAAGCAGCCAUCAUUUAAAGAAAGCGUAAUAGCUCACUGGUCGAGUCGGCCUGCGCGGAAGAUGUAACGGGGCUAAACCAUGCACCGAAGCUGCGGCAGCGAACGUAUCACCCAAGACAACUUUACGGAGUUGACGAUUGACGGAGCGAAGCGACGUCAAAGCGUUCAUUAAAGUCGAGUUGGCUUAGGGAUACGUUCGUUGGGUAGGGGAGCGUUCUGUAAGCCUGUGAAGGUGUGUCGUGAGGCAUGCUGGAGGUAUCAGAAGUGCGAAUGCUGACAUAAGUAACGAUAAAGCGGGUGAAAAGCCCGCUCGCCGGAAGACCAAGGGUUCCUGUCCAACGUUAAUCGGGGCAGGGUGAGUCGACCCCUAAGGCGAGGCCGAAAGGCGUAGUCGAUGGGAAACGGGUUAAUAUUCCCGUACUUGGUGUUACUGCGAAGGGGGGACGGAGAAGGCUAUGUUGGCCGGGCGACGGUUGUCCCGGUUUAAGCGUGUAGGUGUGUGUUCCAGGUAAAUCCGGUUCACUUUAACACUGAGGCGUGACGACGAGGCACUACGGUGCUGAAGCAACAAAUGCCCUGCUUCCAGGAAAAGCCUCUAAGCAUCAGGUAACACGAAAUCGUACCCCAAACCGACACAGGUGGUCAGGUAGAGAAUACCAAGGCGCUUGAGAGAACUCGGGUGAAGGAACUAGGCAAAAUGGUGCCGUAACUUCGGGAGAAGGCACGCUGACACGUAGGUGAAGUGAUUUACUCAUGGAGCUGAAGUCAGUCGAAGAUACCAGCUGGCUGCAACUGUUUAUUAAAAACACAGCACUGUGCAAACACGAAAGUGGACGUAUACGGUGUGACGCCUGCCCGGUGCCGGAAGGUUAAUUGAUGGGGUCAGCGUAAGCGAAGCUCCUGAUCGAAGCCCCGGUAAACGGCGGCCGUAACUAUAACGGUCCUAAGGUAGCGAAAUUCCUUGUCGGGUAAGUUCCGACCUGCACGAAUGGCGUAAUGAUGGCCAGGCUGUCUCCACCCGAGACUCAGUGAAAUUGAACUCGCUGUGAAGAUGCAGUGUACCCGCGGCAAGACGGAAAGACCCCGUGAACCUUUACUAUAGCUUGACACUGAACAUUGAGCCUUGAUGUGUAGGAUAGGUGGGAGGCUUUGAAGUGUGGACGCCAGUCUGCAUGGAGCCGACCUUGAAAUACCACCCUUUAAUGUUUGAUGUUCUAACGUGGACCCGUAAUCCGGGUUGCGGACAGUGUCUGGUGGGUAGUUUGACUGGGGCGGUCUCCUCCUAAAGAGUAACGGAGGAGCACGAAGGUUGGCUAAUCCUGGUCGGACAUCAGGAGGUUAGUGCAAUGGCAUAAGCCAGCUUGACUGCGAGCGUGACGGCGCGAGCAGGUGCGAAAGCAGGUCAUAGUGAUCCGGUGGUUCUGAAUGGAAGGGCCAUCGCUCAACGGAUAAAAGGUACUCCGGGGAUAACAGGCUGAUACCGCCCAAGAGUUCAUAUCGACGGCGGUGUUUGGCACCUCGAUGUCGGCUCAUCACAUCCUGGGGCUGAAGUAGGUCCCAAGGGUAUGGCUGUUCGCCAUUUAAAGUGGUACGCGAGCUGGGUUUAGAACGUCGUGAGACAGUUCGGUCCCUAUCUGCCGUGGGCGCUGGAGAACUGAGGGGGGCUGCUCCUAGUACGAGAGGACCGGAGUGGACGCAUCACUGGUGUUCGGGUUGUCAUGCCAAUGGCACUGCCCGGUAGCUAAAUGCGGAAGAGAUAAGUGCUGAAAGCAUCUAAGCACGAAACUUGCCCCGAGAUGAGUUCUCCCUGAGACUUAGAGUCUCCUGAAGGAACGUUGAAGACGACGACGUUGAUAGGCCGGGUGUGUAAGCGCAGCGAUGCGUUGAGCUAACCGGUACUAAUGAACCGUGAGGCUUAACCUU